UCUUCUUUCCUCUCUCUCAAUAGCUUUGGAGACUAAAGAACCUCAUGGAGGUGAACAGAAAGAACAGCAGAAAGCACCACUACAGAGAAUAACUCAUGGUUUUCUUAUUUUACUCCACCCAGCGGUACAUAAAGAAAAACCGUCUGAAAAAGUAGAAAUCACCUGACCAAAAAAGUGUAUCGACUGCCUUUCCUUCAGCCUUCAGGCUUUGAUCAAUGCUUUGGCCACUGCACAAGUACAGAGGAAGUCUCUGUCAUGGCCAGAGUAAAUUUUGAGAUGCUUUUCUCCUGGGACCCCAGAUUGUAAGACAUCCUGCUUAUAUGCUAUAGUCCUAAUAAAUACAGAUCAGACUUAAAGAGCUUCCAUAAAUGUCAUUAUUUCAAGGCAACCUACUCGUUCUUCAGAAGUGGAAAGCCAGAAACACCUCCAGAAUGAAACACCUACACAUGGAGAGAUUUCCAAUUCCUUCUUUUCUUAUUCCCAAGAUGUUGCCAAAUGGAGAACUGCUUUACAAGCAGGGAUUCACAGCCAAACUGAGUACUGGACACCCCCAAAGAGCAAACACAGGAAAACUGUCAAGGACAUUUGAACUAUGGGCACCU